rnacentral:rRNA from 1 species
GGGUUGUGAGGUUAAGCGACUAAGCGUACACGGUGGAUGCCCUGGCAGUCAGAGGCGAUGAAGGACGUGCUAAUCUGCGAUAAGCGUCGGUAAGGUGAUAUGAACCGUUAUAACCGGCGAUUUCCGAAUGGGGAAACCCAGUGUGUUUCGACACACUAUCAUUAACUGAAUCCAUAGGUUAAUGAGGCGAACCGGGGGAACUGAAACAUCUAAGUACCCCGAGGAAAAGAAAUCAACCGAGAUUCCCCCAGUAGCGGCGAGCGAACGGGGAGCAGCCCAGAGCCUGAAUCAGUGUGUGUGUUAGUGGAAGCGUCUGGAAAGGCGCGCGAUACAGGGUGACAGCCCCGUACACAAAAAUGCACAUGCUGUGAGCUCGAUGAGUAGGGCGGGACACGUGGUAUCCUGUCUGAAUAUGGGGGGACCAUCCUCCAAGGCUAAAUACUCCUGACUGACCGAUAGUGAACCAGUACCGUGAGGGAAAGGCGAAAAGAACCCCGGCGAGGGGAGUGAAAAAGAACCUGAAACCGUGUACGUACAAGCAGUGGGAGCACGCUUAGGCGUGUGACUGCGUACCUUUUGUAUAAUGGGUCAGCGACUUAUAUUCUGUAGCAAGGUUAACCGAAUAGGGGAGCCGAAGGGAAACCGAGUCUUAACUGGGCGUUAAGUUGCAGGGUAUAGACCCGAAACCCGGUGAUCUAGCCAUGGGCAGGUUGAAGGUUGGGUAACACUAACUGGAGGACCGAACCGACUAAUGUUGAAAAAUUAGCGGAUGACUUGUGGCUGGGGGUGAAAGGCCAAUCAAACCGGGAGAUAGCUGGUUCUCCCCGAAAGCUAUUUAGGUAGCGCCUCGUGAAUUCAUCUCCGGGGGUAGAGCACUGUUUCGGCAAGGGGGUCAUCCCGACUUACCAACCCGAUGCAAACUACGAAUACCGGAGAAUGUUAUCACGGGAGACACACGGCGGGUGCUAACGUCCGUCGUGAAGAGGGAAACAACCCAGACCGCCAGCUAAGGUCCCAAAGUCAUGGUUAAGUGGGAAACGAUGUGGGAAGGCCCAGACAGCCAGGAUGUUGGCUUAGAAGCAGCCAUCAUUUAAAGAAAGCGUAAUAGCUCACUGGUCGAGUCGGCCUGCGCGGAAGAUGUAACGGGGCUAAACCAUGCACCGAAGCUGCGGCAGCGACGCUGAUGCGUUGUUGGGUAGGGGAGCGUUCUGUAAGCCUGCGAAGGUGUGCUGUGAGGCAUGCUGGAGGUAUCAGAAGUGCGAAUGCUGACAUAAGUAACGAUAAAGCGGGUGAAAAGCCCGCUCGCCGGAAGACCAAGGGUUCCUGUCCAACGUUAAUCGGGGCAGGGUGAGUCGACCCCUAAGGCGAGGCCGAAAGGCGUAGUCGAUGGGAAACAGGUUAAUAUUCCUGUACUUGGUGUUACUGCGAAGGGGGGACGGAGAAGGCUAUGUUGGCCGGGCGACGGUUGUCCCGGUUUAAGCGUGUAGGCUGGUUUUCCAGGCAAAUCCGGAAAAUCAAGGCUGAGGCGUGAUGACGAGGCACUACGGUGCUGAAGCAACAAAUGCCCUGCUUCCAGGAAAAGCCUCUAAGCAUCAGGUAACAUCAAAUCGUACCCCAAACCGACACAGGUGGUCAGGUAGAGAAUACCAAGGCGCUUGAGAGAACUCGGGUGAAGGAACUAGGCAAAAUGGUGCCGUAACUUCGGGAGAAGGCACGCUGAUAUGUAGGUGAAGUCCCUCGCGGAUGGAGCUGAAAUCAGUCGAAGAUACCAGCUGGCUGCAACUGUUUAUUAAAAACACAGCACUGUGCAAACACGAAAGUGGACGUAUACGGUGUGACGCCUGCCCGGUGCCGGAAGGUUAAUUGAUGGGGUCAGCGCAAGCGAAGCUCUUGAUCGAAGCCCCGGUAAACGGCGGCCGUAACUAUAACGGUCCUAAGGUAGCGAAAUUCCUUGUCGGGUAAGUUCCGACCUGCACGAAUGGCGUAAUGAUGGCCAGGCUGUCUCCACCCGAGACUCAGUGAAAUUGAACUCGCUGUGAAGAUGCAGUGUACCCGCGGCAAGACGGAAAGACCCCGUGAACCUUUACUAUAGCUUGACACUGAACAUUGAGCCUUGAUGUGUAGGAUAGGUGGGAGGCUUUGAAGUGUGGACGCCAGUCUGCAUGGAGCCGACCUUGAAAUACCACCCUUUAAUGUUUGAUGUUCUAACGUGGACCCGUAAUCCGGGUUGCGGACAGUGUCUGGUGGGUAGUUUGACUGGGGCGGUCUCCUCCUAAAGAGUAACGGAGGAGCACGAAGGUUGGCUAAUCCUGGUCGGACAUCAGGAGGUUAGUGCAAUGGCAUAAGCCAGCUUGACUGCGAGCGUGACGGCGCGAGCAGGUGCGAAAGCAGGUCAUAGUGAUCCGGUGGUUCUGAAUGGAAGGGCCAUCGCUCAACGGAUAAAAGGUACUCCGGGGAUAACAGGCUGAUACCGCCCAAGAGUUCAUAUCGACGGCGGUGUUUGGCACCUCGAUGUCGGCUCAUCACAUCCUGGGGCUGAAGUAGGUCCCAAGGGUAUGGCUGUUCGCCAUUUAAAGUGGUACGCGAGCUGGGUUUAGAACGUCGUGAGACAGUUCGGUCCCUAUCUGCCGUGGGCGCUGGAGAAUUGAGGGGGGCUGCUCCUAGUACGAGAGGACCGGAGUGGACGCAUCACUGGUGUUCGGGUUGUCAUGCCAAUGGCACUGCCCGGUAGCUAAAUGCGGAAGAGAUAAGUGCUGAAAGCAUCUAAGCACGAAACUUGCCCCGAGAUGAGUUCUCCCUGACUCCUUGAGAGUCCUGAAGGAACGUUGAAGACGACGACGUUGAUAGGCCGGGUGUGUAAGCGCAGCGAUGCGUUGAGCUAACCGGUACUAAUGAACCGUGAGGCUUAACCUUACAACGCCGAAG